UACAGGGGGGGCAAGCGUUGUUCGGAAUUACUGGGCGUAAAGGGCUCGUAGGUGGCCAACUAAGUCAGACGUGAAAUCCCUCAGCUUAACUGGGGAACUGCGUCUGAUACUGGAUGGCUUGAGUUUGGGAGAGGGAUGCGGAAUUCCAGGUGUAGCGGUGAAAUGCGUAGAUAUCUGGAGGAACACCGGUGGCGAAGGCGGCGUUCUGGACUGCAACUGACACUGAGGAACGAAAGCCAGGGGAGCAAACGGG
rnacentral:rRNA from 1 species